CAGCAGCCGCGGGAAUACGUAGGGUGCAAGCGUUGUCCGGAAUUAUUGGGCGUAAAGAGCUCGUAGGCGGUUUGUCGCGCCUGCUGUGAAAUCCUGAGGCUCAACCUCGGGCUUGCAGUGGGUACGGGCAGACUAGAGUGCGGUAGGGGAGAUUGGAAUUCCUGGUGUAGCGGUGGAAUGCGCAGAUAUCAGGAGGAACACCGAUGGCGAAGGCAGAUCUCUGGGCCGUAACUGACGCUGAGGAGCGAAAGCAUGGGGAGCGAACAGGAUUAGAUACCCGGGUAGUCCCUGUCUCUUAUAC
rnacentral:rRNA from 1 species